AAGAAUAGAACAAGUGAAACUUAGUCCUGGUACCACGUAUAAAUUAGAUUGAAACUUUUCAAACAACCGCGUCUGUCAAUAUUGAAUGUUUAAUCUGUAUGACUGUGCAGAAGUUUAUAUAUUGCAGUGUGUAUAUUGUAUAUACUCUUUGUGAAUAAAUAAAGGGGCUUUUGGCAUUAAACCGUCUUCAAAUAUUUUAGCUUUUAAAACUACACAAUUUGCCGCUUUUACAAGUAUUCAUUUAAUCACAAUUGAGAUUAUUUUGACCAGAAUACCAAGACGAAAUCACACACAAAACGAAAGAUCAAAAUAGACAAGACGAAAUCAUAUAAGUCCAUACAAAUCUUGUUAAUAACAUAUAUUAGUAAAUUGUGUACACAGGGUUCGAAAUGUUCCUAUUUUUCCCUGCCCAUGGCGGUUGAGAGCCGUA